rnacentral:rRNA from 1 species
UUGGAGGGCAAGUCUGGUGCCAGCAGCCGCGGUAAUUCCAGCUCCAAUAGCGUAUACUAAAGUUGUUGCAGUUAAAAAGCUCGUAGUUGAAUUUCGGGAUCAAAUUGUUGGUCGUGCCUCGGUACGCACUGGUAUUAUUGGUUUCUACCUUCUGAAGAACCGCGAUGUCAUUAAUUUGGUGUCGUGGGGAAUCAGGACUGUUACUUUGAAAAAAUUAGAGUGUUUAAAGCAGGCUUACGCUUGAAUACAUUAGCAUGGAAUAAUGAAAUAGGACGUUUGAUUCUAUUUUGUUGGUUUCUAGGAUUGACGUAAUGAUUAAUAGGGAUAGUUGGGGGCAUUAGUAUUCAAUUGUCAGAGGUGAAAUUCUUGGAUUUAUUGAAGACUAACUACUGCGAAAGCAUUUGCCAAGGAUGUUUUCAUUAAUCAAGAACGAAAGUUAGGGGAUCGAAGACGAUCAGAUACCGUCGUAGUCUUAACCAUAAACUAUGCCGACUAGGGAUCGGACGAUGUUAAUUUUUUAAUGACUCAUUCGGCGCCUUACGGGAAAC